rnacentral:lncRNA from 1 species
UGGAUGGAGCAACAAGAGUCUGGGCUAUUAACACAGGUUUGAGUCAGGCUGACCGGAGCUGUAAAGCCCUUCUCGUUCUCACUGUGUGUUCUUUUCAGUUCUGUCUUCCUGAGGCUGCUGUUUCUGGGCAUGGCCAGGGGAUCUUCAGACUUUACAAACCAGUUGUGCAGAGCCAGGCAUUUCAAUAAGGAACAAAAUGCUGAGUAACAACAUGAAGUCAGAGUGUUGCUUGCCAAGAGCUGGGAGGCCUGGGUGGUUUCCCAAUCUUAAAGAAGCAGAAGGAUAUUAAAGUGAGCCUCCCAAAGGAAAACGUGGAUCUACUUACCAACGCAGAAAAUGAUACACACGGAUUCGAUUUAGGCUGGAGUACAGUAACUGCAACCUCCGCCUCCCAGGUUCCGGUGAUUCUCAUGGCUCAGUCUCCCAAGGAGCUGGGAUUACAGGCACGCUACAUUCAAAUGACUUGGAAGAGCAGGUUCUCUGAGCCAGGAUACUAAAGUCCCUGUUUAGGAAAGAGCCACGUUGUAUGUUUACCCUACCACAAAGAUACAGGCAUGUGCCUGGGAAAGAUUGAUGCCAGCUCCAGAAAGGCAUCCGAAUGGUCUAAGUAAUGCCAUCCAUCUGUCAGUAAUAGAUUCAGAAAUGGGUAUGUGAUUCAAGUCUGGCCAAUGAGAUGUAUGCAGAAGAGUGCUGGGUAUUCUGGAAAAUUAUCCCUUGUCAUUCAGAGAUCCACAGGAAUCCAGCCUUUUGCUCCUUGAAUGGGAUAAGGAAGCACAUAAUCCCAGUUGCUCUUCCAGUCAUCCCAGACCCACAGCCCUGCUUUAGCCAUCCUAUAGCCAUCAUAUAUUCACAAGGGGAGAGCAACUGAGGACAACACUGUGGAUCCUUGUGACAUAACCAAGCCAGUGAACCAAUCAAUACAUUUAUUUAUUGUUUGAGCGCUGGCAGAGGAAACAGCAGCAAUGAUGCUCUGCGAGCCUGACUCAGGGCCAGCAGUGAUGGCAGCCCAAGGAUUCUGGAGGAAAGUGGCUCUGGGAAUUGAACAGUGGCUCAGUGAUGUUGGGGCCACCAAGUCUGCAAUUCUCCCUACCUGUUCUUCAUGGUUGUAAGAUGACUGCUGCAAUUCUCGGCAUCAUGUGCAUGUUAAUGUCAGGAGGAAGAAAGGAAGAGGGAGCACUGGGAUGUUACAUUCAUUUUGUCAGGAAAAGCAAAGCCUUUCCAGACAGCUCCGAAACUUGCUUACCUCUCAUUGGCCAGCACCAUCACUUGACCACUUGUCCACUCCUAGCUGCAAGGAAAGUGGCAAAGUAGAAGGUAUUUGAGAAUGUCUGCUGGGUUAGCCAAAACAAUAGUGACUUCUACACCCAAUUUUCUGGGCACUGCAGAAGUAUCCUUGAGUCCUAUGUGAUCAGAGGGAGAGCAAACCUCAAUAAUGAAACAGAUUCAAUUUCCAUCACCCAGUGAGACACCAUGGGAUUAGAAUAAAUUUUUAAAAAAACAAAUUGAAAAAAAUGCAUUUUUAAAACAACAAAAUCAGAAAGGAUGAAAGGUGAUAUUUCUAGCAUAUCAGUUUGUGGUGGUAAAUUAAUUACCUUAUACAAAGGCCUCAGUGACUUUCUUCUCCUUACCUAACGAAUCAUCUUUAAAAUAAGUAAAAUAAAGAAACAAGAGCAGCAGCAGAUGCUUCCUAAAAAGAAGUUACCAAAUCUGUUCACCACAAACCUGAGAAUUCAACUGUGGACAUUUGGACACCAGCAAUGAACAUGAAACUCAGCUUAUGAGGCAUAUUUGGCUAAAGGUCAAGGUGACUUAAAGUUCAUCAUAGGACAUCUACAAUUUGCAAAGCAGGUGACUGGAUAUGGACUCCUUCCAAGUCUCAUUUAAUUGGAUAAUGCCUACGUUUUAAGUAUCAGAAGUGAGUCUUUCUCUAUUAAAUGAAGUCAGUUCCACUAAAACCUAAAUCUUGUUUGGCAGGCACUCCAUGUUUCUUAAUUUUUAUUCCAUGCUGUAUAUUCUUUUAGACUUGAUUUUCACUUUUUUUUCUUUUUUCCUGUACAUUUAUCUUUGCUGUGAAACAAAGUGCCCUGCUUUGAAGGACAGGUUUGUGGGCUGCUGGUGGUGAGACAACAGCAGUCCUUCCAAGUCUUCCUCCCAUCACUCUGUUAGCUCUCCCUUUGUUUUUAAUUAGCAUUACACCAGUUAAUUCUGUUAUCUCUUAACCCUGGUUCUGCAUCCUCUUCUUCUUUUCUAUUCCUUACUCCGCUCCUGUUUUUUCUUGUUCUGCUUUUCCAAGAAAUGUCUUGUCUCCUCAUCAGUUGACUGUCUUCUCUUUCCAGAGGGACCAUAAAGGUGCCAGCCUAAGGAACACGUAAAACGUGGGAACAGACAAACAAGCUGCUGCCUAUUACAGAGAUAGAUAAUUAACUUUGGACCAUUACAUGCAAUUCAUCAGCUUAUCUUUUUCAAACUUUAUAUAAGAAGUCAUUUCCCAAUGGUAACCACUUGCCAGCUGCAACUUUGACGCAUAUUAUCAGGAUAGGUGAGAUUGAUGGGGGCCCUUUGAACUCUUCCCAGGGAAUUAUCUUUAUAAUGUUACAGUUUUCUCUAUAGCAUGGUCAUAUUGUUAACAUUGGUUAUAAGGUCAUAUGGUUAGUAUGGUUAGUAUUGGUGGCUCACAGCUGUAAUACCAGCACUUUGGGAGGCCAAGGUGGGAGGAUCACUUGAGCCCUGGUGUUCAAAACCAGCUCUGGAAACAUAGCAAGACCUUGUCUCUACAAAAAAAAAUUAAAUAAAUUAAAAGAUUAGCUGGGCAUGGUGGCACAUGCCUGUAGUCCUCACUACUUGGGAAACUAAGGUGGGAGGAUCCUUUGAGCUUGGGAGGUUGAGGCUGCAGUGAGCUGUGGUUGUGCCAUGGCACUCCAGCCUGGGUGACAGAGUGAGAGCCUGUCUCA